rnacentral:rRNA from 1 species
AGGAGAAGUCGUAACAAGGUUUCCGUAGGUGAACCUCGCGGAAGGAUCAUUCGAAUUAUUAAAACCACACUGCGAACCUAACGUUCCGUGCCUCUGCUGCCAGCAAGGCAGUUGGGCUUUGCCUCAUUGUGCUUGCAAGCUGGAUCGAGUAAUGUUUACUUGCAUCAGUGGCGCUUUGGCAUGCUUAUACACCAGUGCUAACCACUGUCAAAACCAAAAUCUGAAGCUUUGAUUGCUAUUAACUGGCGAUCUUAACCAAAGACAACUCUCAACAACGGAUAUCUUGGCUCUCGCAACGAUGAAGAACGCAGCGAAAUGCGAUACGUAGUGUGAAUUGCAGAAUUCCGUGAACCAUCGAAUCUUUGAACGCAUAUUGCGCUCGAGCCCUCGGGCAAGAGCAUGUCUGCCUCAGCGUCGGUUUAUACCCUCACCCCUCUCUCCUUUUGGGGGGCUGGUCAGCUCCUAGUUGACCUCAGGAGUGGAUCUGGCUUUCCCAAUCGGUUUUGGCCGGUUGGGUUGGCUGAAGCUUAGAGGCUUAAGCAAGGACCCGAUAUGGGCUUCAACUGGAUAGGUAGCACCGGCUUCUGCCGACUACACGAAGUUGUGGCUUGUGGACUUUGUUAGAGGCCAAGCAGGAAACAUGCUUUGCAUGUUCUAAACUUUCGACCUGAGCUCAGGCAAGGCUACCCGCUGAACUUAA